GCCUAACUUAUGGGAUAGAACCAUUAAAUAAAAUGCGAUCUGUAUAGAAUAAGGUCCAACAAGAACCUUGCUACCUGCUGGUGGAAUGUUUAUAUCCACCAGUCUUCUGAAAACCCUUCAUAUAUAUCUUCCUUUUGUUACCCUUUUUGCCUUCUGAAUUAGCUGUUCAGAACCCUAGCCUUCAUACACCGCUUGCCUUUGAACAAUCUCUGAAGAUAUUCGUGAUCGAGAUCGAUGAUGGUGGAGUUAUUUGUGUUGGGGUGCACAGGAAUUGUCAUGUUUCUUCACGGAGCCAACUUCGUCUUCCACCUUAUUUCCCAACACUUUGUAUUUCGAUCUAUCAGCUUUCUGGGAUUCGUUGGGUGGUAGAUGGACCAGAAAGGAAAGGCAAAGCUAAGAAGAAACGAUCAUAGAUCGAGUGCUCUAGAAAUUAGGUAGCUUAACGAAGUUAUAUUGUACUAUGUUAGCUCAACCAUCUGGUAAGCUCCCAAAAAAUAGAGCCUAAAAGAGUAAGGGCCAAAUAAGAAAAAGCUCCAAAAAAAUGGAGUUUUCAUUGAUCUAGCUAAACCAAUAAUGUGAAUUUUGUUUCUGCAACGCAAUAAUAAUGCAUGUUGCUUCACAUUUUGGAAUA